UUCUUUUAGAAAAAAUUAAAAGUAUACUCUGCUCAAUGCCAAGUAAAUAGCCGCAGUAUCCUGACUGUGCAAAGGUAGCAUAAUAAUUAGUCCUUUAAUUGAGGACUGGAAUGAAAGAGUUAAUUAAAAAUAUAAUAUUUUAUAAUUAUUUCUUAAAAUUUACCUUUUAGUAAAAAGGCUAAAAUAAUCUUUAUAGACAAAAAGACCCUAUAAAUCUUUACAUCUAAUAAUCUAAAAAUUAAUAUAAUGUUUUGCUGGGGCAGCCAGAAAGUAAACGUUUCUAAAUUUUAAUUAAAUUAAUUAUACCUAGAAUUUCUAAAACUUAACCAAGAUACUUUAGGGAUAACAGCAUUUUCUAUUUUAAAAGACCAAAUUGAUAAAUAAAAACGUGACCUCGAUGUUGGAUUUAAAGUCCCUUUUUUUCGCAAAAGGAAAAAAAGGGGGUCUGUUCGACCCUUAAAUCUUUCCA
rnacentral:rRNA from 1 species